ACUUGGUUGUGCAAUCUGUGGGGCUGAAAAGGAAACUCCUUGUGCUUGGCAGAAUCGACUAUGAACUUGGAUAAUUGGAGCAAGAAUUACUGUUCUCCUAAUCUCUGACCCUCUCGGCUUCCUCUCUCAAUUUGCUAAAGUGUGCAGGAGGUGGAGUGUAAUCAAGCAGGGGUGGAAGAGAUGAUCAAGCGGGAGGUGGAGGUGGAGGAGCUACGUGGCUUGAAUGGGAGGGGAGUAAUCAAGGAGGAAGAGAAAGCUAUUGCAACUUGUGUAAAGAGGGACAUUUGGGCUUCAAGAAGAAAUUCUUUUAAUGAUUUGGGUUUUUCAAGAAUGGGCUCCAAAAUAAUGUAUUUUUUUUAGGCCCACAAGAAAUAAAUUCUUUUAUUUCUAUUA